GAGUAUGCAGCCUAGGGCCUUAGUUUUGCAAAAACUAAUGAGAAUUCUUUUAAAUUCCGUACUUU
rnacentral:tRNA from 1 species